rnacentral:rRNA from 1 species
UACGAAGGGGGCUAGCGUUGUUCGGAAUUACUGGGCGUAAAGCGUGCGCAGGCGGUUCGUUGUGUCGGUGGUGAAAUCCCCGGGCUUAACCUGGGAAUGGCAUUUGGGACUGCAAGGCUUGAGUGCGGCAGAGGAGACUGGAAUUCCUGGUGUAGCAGUGAAAUGCGUAGAUAUCAGGAGGAAUACCGAUGGCGAAGGCAGGUCUCUGGGCUGACACUGACGCUCAUGCACGAAAGCGUGGGGAGCAAACAGG